AAGACCUUAGUAAAACUAUUACAUAGCCCCGUCAGAGCUAAAUUAUAGGAUUAAAACCUAUAGAUCUUA
rnacentral:tRNA from 1 species